CAGUAGCGCGGUAAUACAGAGGGUGCGAGCGUUAAUCGGAUUUACUGGGCGUAAAGCGUGCGUAGGCGGCUUCUUAAGUCGGAUGUGAAAUCCCUGAGCUUAACUUAGGAAUUGCAUUCGAUACUGGGAAGCUAGAGUAUGGGAGAGGAUGGUAGAAUUCCAGGUGUAGCGGUGAAAUGCGUAGAGAUCUGGAGGAAUACCGAUGGCGAAGGCAGCCAUCUGGCCUAAUACUGACGCUGAGGUACGAAAGCAUGGGGAGCAAACAGGAUUAGAUACCCCAGUAGUCCCUGUCUCUUAUACA
rnacentral:rRNA from 1 species